AACAAUAUUUGAAUGUAUUAAAGUGUCGCAAUAUAUUUCUAGUAAAUAAAAUAAAAACAUUUUUAUCUUUUUUGUUUACGGGAGUAAAACUAGAUUUGUUUAAAUUUUAUAUUUUAUUUUUCAAGUUUUUCUGUUUUAAUGUGUCAGUGUACAGCUGAUGGAUUAAACGGAUUCAUGCCUGUUGUAAUGAUCACUGUUGGAUUGACAGCAAUAAUAAUAUGGAAAUCAGUGUACAUAGAAAAACAAUCGUUUAAAAAAAAACAAAGUUCUUCAGAUGCAGUUAGAAUAAAAUGUAUGAUUAAGAAGUUAAAAUCAUUUAAGUAUAACUGUGACUCUAUGAAGCGUUUUCUUACGUACCAAAUAAUGAAGGGAAAGAAAGCCACGGACCAAGGAAACGUCAAGGCAGCCGUCUCUAAACUCUAGUAGCAUUUUGUUAUGGACAGGUUUUUGUUUUUGUCUUUGGUGUUUUACACAAUUUAUUGAAGAUGUGAAGCCGCCAUCAGUAAAUGUCUAGUCCUGUCGGUGAAUCAUUGAGACCAUCAAAUGGGUAUCUUCGAACACUGGGUAUCGUUUUAUUUAAUUAUAUUUACAUAAUGAGCUACGUUUUAUUAAUUAUAUUUAUUUUCUCACGCGGAGAGGCACAUGAUUUCCCUUUUCUUUAACCAAGACUAAGAAAUGAGUGUUAAGUAUUAUUAUUUAAUAUAUUAACGGUUGUAUUUCGAUAGUGUCUGUGAUACAAUUUGAUUUGUAUUUAUAAAUUGUAUUUUAUUUUAUUGUCCGCAUUUUUUUUUGUGGGCACGGUUCAAGGUACAUUUGUAUUUUUAUGUGUAACUUAUAUUUCAUUUUUGUACAAUAACAAGACAAUGAUACGCGUUGGUAUAAUAGAUGAAUUCGUAUGAUAAAAUCUGAAGUUUAACACCUCAGAUAUAUGUUAAGUUUUUCGUCGUGGUAUUUUUAAAUAUUAUUACGCAUUCUCAGUAAAUCCUUGAAUAUGUCUAAGGUUUAUCAGAUUUCAUAAUAAUAUUAAAUAUAAAAAACAAAAGCAUUAGUUUAUCUAUGAAUUUUUAUUACAUUAAAAUUCGAGAACUCCUAUGGACUCUUUAAAAUUUUAGCAUUUUCAUGGCUACUUAAUUUUUUAAAUACAUCCCUUAUGUCAAAGUUUUUCAAUAAUGGAUCAUAAAAAAAUCAUUUUGUUAACUAACAGAUAUUCUCCAGAGAAAGUAAGAUUAGACCAUAGAUUUGAAAACAAUUUUACCAUAUUAGCUUUGAUGCGAAGCUGAUGAGGUAUUAAUUUUACUAUGACGUGUUUUUUUCUAUUUAUAAUUAAUAGUAGAUUAUAAGUUAUUAGACAAAUGUUUAUUUCAAACUAAAUCAAGUGUUAAA